rnacentral:rRNA from 1 species
AGUGAACGCUGGCGGUAGGCCUAACACAUGCAAGUCGAACGGCAGCACAGUAAGAGCUUGCUCUUACGGGUGGCGAGUGGCGGACGGGUGACGAAUACAUCGGAAUCUACUUUUUCUUGGGGGAUAACGUAGGGAAACUUACGCUAAUACCGCAUACGACCUACGGGUGAAAGCAGGAGAUCUUCGGACCUUGCGCGAUUGAAUGAGCCGAUGUCGGAUUAGCUAGUUGGCGGGGUAAAGGCACACCAAGGCAACGAUCCGUAGCUGGUCUGAGAGGAUGAUCAGCCACACUGGAACUGAGACACGGUCCAGACUCCUACGGGAGGCAGCAGUGGGGAAUCUUGGACAAUGGGCGCAAGCCUGAUCCAGCCAUACCGCGUGGGUGAAGAAGGCCUUCGGGUUGUAAAGCCCUUUUGUUGGGAAAGAAAAGCAGCAGGUUAAUACCCCGAUGUUCUGACGGUACCCAAAGAAUAAGCACCGGCUAACUUCGUG